rnacentral:lncRNA from 1 species
GACUUGUUCCAGAGCACACAGGGAACCUGUUCACUGUGUCUUCAAAGCUCCAUGUUAGUGGUGGCAGAGCUCUGCUUCAGAGUGAACUAGUUCUUGAAUGGGGCACAUAGGUUCUUCCUGAAGGUGAGCAGCCAUGAAGAGGCUCUCACCUCCCAAUAGUCAUGAGCCGUCGUCACACAGUGCAGAGGUCCACAUGAGUGUGAGGAGAAUACUUGCGAAUAUCUGAAAUUCUCUCCGUGAUGUUCAAUGAUCUCUCAGAUGUCCUCAUCAAAGACAGGUAGUAGGAAGAAUUCACAAGGGACAAAAGAUCAUGGAAUGAUAAUGGAACCUGGCUAAGCUGUCAGGUUUGAAACAAGAGCCAGAGUGCUAGAGGUACAAGUAUUGCUGGUCCUGAGUAUGAGAAAUGCAAAAGCAGACUCUACUGAGAGAGAGCAUCAUAUAUAACCAGGGUCUUCCUGAAGAAGUAAGCAAUAAAGCUUUUGCCAUGGAAGAUUCCAGUUUGUUGCGUCUUUCUUGCCUUCGAGUGGGAUGCAAUAAGUGGUGCCAAGGAACCCGGGAACUACCAUCACACUGGCGCAAGGAAGAUCCCUCGUUCACGGGGCGGAACCAGAACCGUGGGACAAAAGGGCUCUACAAGGUAAGUACAAUCUUGAAAUUUCUCCAGAGUUCGAAGCCCUUUUGAUUGUUUGCACUGCGAUUGCACUUUUCCUUUCGGUUUCGUUUUGCUCCCACCACUGGAACUGCUGACUGGUUCUUUGUUGCGGUCAGGCCUGGACAGCGCCUGGACAGUGACCAGUUUCAGUCGCCGUCAGGACUGGACAGCGGCAGUAUGGGAAACUCCCACUCUGUAUCUAACUUGUAUUAGGGACUACUUUCAGUGUACAUACAAAUGUUCAUGCAUCAGAAGCCAGUUUCCUUUAACAGUACAUUCAAUUUUGGUGAGCUAAUAAACACUUCAACUUAAAUAAUGGCAUUUUUAAGGAUCAAAUUCCAUUAUUAGUUUUGUUAACACCACUGGCACACACACUGCAUAUGCAUAUAUGUAUUAUCCUAAAAUAAAACUCCUCUAAGAAUUUCUUUACUUUUUACUCUACACCAACUAGUUCAUAUUUUAGGUUUUUUUUUUACAAAGAAAAUGCUAAGAAAAUUAUAAUCACAUAAUUUCAGAUUUCUUUACACAUAAGAUGGAAUGGUCCAGCAGCUAUGUCCACUGUCACAGACUUUAGUUCUGUUCAAUUGAUAUGUCGCCUCUUGGGACAAAAUGAAAGGAGAUCUAGUUAGGGAACAGCAGAAUGGCAGACUUAAAGCAGAGAUCAUGCCAUUGUGGAAAUUGGUGAAAUCGUGUUUAACAGAUGAGGAUUGUCAGCAAAUGGUAGAAGUGGGGCAGAAAGUUCUGGACGAAAUUCAAGAAAGUCUAUCAGAGGUAGAGCGGGGAGAGAGAGUAAAAGUAGAGAGGAAACAAAGUGCACUGAAAAAUUUAGGCCUUUCCACGGGCCUUGAGCCCAAGGAAAAGAGAUAUAAAGGAAAGAAUGCCUUGGGAGAGAUUAGAAAAAGGGAUGAAAAGGGAGAGAAGAAGGGAGAUCGAGCUGGAGAGGCACAUAAGGAAAGGAGCCUCCACCCGCCACAGGAUGAAUUUAAGCAGCUAGCUCUUAGUAGCUCAGAACCAGAUGAAGGAGUUAGCGCCUCUGAAGAAACGGAGUCGGAGGAGGAAGCAGUUCGUUAUAAGGGAGAAAGGUACCAGCAAGGUAAAAAGCAAGCUACUCAGUCCAGAAAAAGGCCAAAAGAGGCUGGCGAAAGCCAGCUUGCUGCUAGGCCUCCGGACUGUCAGCUUCAGGGUCCUAGUGCACCUCUGCUUUAUGUACAGAGGUAGUUGUCAAUUUUUACCUACUCCUCAUGUAGGGGUAAAUCCUCGAGGCAUCAGGCCAUUACAGGUCUAGCAAAUGGAUGUCACUCAUAUUUCCUCCCCUGGGAGAAAUCAAUAUUUACAUGUUUCUAUUGACACCUGCUCUGGUGUAAUGUUUGUCACACCUUUAACAGGUGAAAAGGCCUCUCAUGUUAUACAGCACUGCCUAGAAGUGUGGAGUGCUUGGGGCAAGCCCACAAUUCUUAAAACGGAUAAUGGGCCAGCAUAUACUUCUACUAAAUUUUAACAAUUUUGUCAUCAAAUGAAUGUCACUCACCUGACUGGCCUUCCUUAUAAUCCUCAAGGACAAGGCAUUGUGGAACGUGCCCACCUCACACUCAAGUCUUAUCUUAUAAAACAAAAAAGGGGAGUUGAUGAGACUCUGCCCUCAGUGCCAAGAGUAACGGUAUCUAUGGCGCUCUUUACACUUAAUUUUUUGAAUCUCAAUGAGCAGGGACGUUCUGCAGCUGAGCAACAUAGCUCAGACCCUGAUAGACCAAAAGAAAUGGUCAAAUGGAAGGAUGUUUUAACUGGUCUGUGGAAAGGCCCGGAUCCUAUCUUAAGCAGAUCCCGGGGAGCUGUUUGUGUUUUUCCACAGAGUGAAGACAACCCAUUUUGGCUGCCAGAACGACUCACCCGCAGGAUAUUCAUCAAGGAUGGUGCAGAAGAUGCUGACUUCCCGAGGACUGUUCCUGAUCCUGACAAUGCUGAACUUGUCUCAGGUUCCUAGUAUAAUGGGUGAACAGAGAUGGGCUAUUCUCUCGACUUUCCCUAAACCAAUGCCAGUUUGCCAUGAUGCUAUAGUUUUUCCAAAAUUCUUUACUACUAAUAAAACAGUGGAUUUGCAAUAUUUACCCUAUGAUCCCACCUGAGCACCAUUAGGGGAAAAUCGCUCUUUACUAGAACAGGGUUCUUUAUGUUUUCAAAGUAAUGGACCAGGAAAUUGUAUCAACCUCACAACCCGAGCUUUGGGGAAGUUUAUAGAGCAUCGAGGAGGUUGGGUGAGCACAACCCAAGAUACUUCCAAUGUAGAUAUAACCUUUACAAAUCGGACCUUUUGGCAGGAGGUAAUUUGGGUUAAUGGUACAUUUCUACCACCUAACUUUUCAGACAAAGAACGUCCACAUCAACCAAAAAUAGCUCCUCAUUGUAGCUUGGAAGAUGAAGGGCUGAUCCUGCCUUGGUCUGAUUGUCAAUCCUCCAUCACUGGUUGGGCAGAUCAGAGUAAAACUUUUUCCUUUUCUCCCAACAUGAUAGAUGACCCAGAGAAGGAAUUUGUUAUGAAAAAGGGACUUUUCAUACAGGACUUUAGAAUACAUCCCUUUCACAAGUGGGUGCUUUGUGGAGCCAAUGGCAGUUGUACAGAACUCAAUCCUUUGAUUUUUAUCCAGGGAGGAGCAGCUGGAAAGGCUUCUUUUACUGGCAUCUCAAGAUUUGCUCAGUAUUGGGGAAUACAUGAUGCCUCCCAGGACUCUUGUGUAUAUACUAAUACCAGUGUAGAGAUCACUGGGUUCAAUAAAACUUUGGUAAACCAGAUUAAUUAUCCAUCUACCCCAGUCUGUGUUUACCCCCCUUUCUUGUUUAUUCUUUCAAAUGAUUCAUUUGAAGUCUGUUCCAAUGAUUCUUGUUGGAUUUCUCAAUGUUGGGAUGUAACAAAGAACACCCGUGCCAUGGUGGCACGAAUCCCACGUUGGAUCCCUGAUCCAGUGGAAACACCCUCCACCUUAUCUCUAUUUCGACAAAAGAGAGAUUUUGGCAUUACUGCUGCCGUGAUCAUAGCAAUUUCAGCCAGUGCAGCUGCUGCUACAGCUGCAGGGUACGCUAUGGCUAGUACGGUUCAAUCAGGCACAAAAUUAAAUCAGCUUUCAGCACAUCUGGCUGAUGCCAUCACUGUCCAAACUUCUGCUAGUACCAAGUUAAAGGGAGGGCUGAUGAUUUUGAAUCAGCGCCUUGACCUGGCGGAGGAACAGAUAGGUGUUCUAUACCAGAUGGCCCAGUUGGGUUGUGAAAGAAAACUGGAAGCUCUGUGCAUUACCAGUGUCCAAUAUGAAAAAUUUACUUAUGCAGCUAAUCUGUCUAGACAGCUUUCUUUAUAUCUUGCAGGAAAUUGGUCUGAAAGAUUCAAUAAGACCCUUGAGGCCCUGAGAGCGGCCGUUCUAAAGAUCAACUCGACACGAGUGGACCUGUCAUUGACAGAGGGCCUCUCCUCCUGGAUUUCAUCUGCAUUUUCUUAUUUUAAGAAAUGGGUGGGGGUAGGUUUAUUUGGUGUUGCCACCUGCUGUGGACUUGUGGUCAUGCUCUGGUUGGUUUGCAAGUUCAGAACCCAACAAAUGACAAGGUUGUGAUAACUCAAGCACUUGCUGCCAUCGAGCAAGGGGCCUCCCCCGAAAUCUGGCUAUCUGUGCUCAAAAAUUAGUUGACAUUGGUGGCUGGCCUCUUUUAUAGAGUUUGCCUUAGGUCAUUUAGUAGUUACUGUCACAUAGCACUGCGGUAUCCAGGGAUGGGAAACUUUCCUCAUGCACAGAUCAACCUAAGAAACGGGGCUGGUGGCGAUAGGGUUACCCUAUUACAGGAAAGGCUGUGACAUUAGAGGAACGAGCUAAGACAGGAGCCACAGCAGAUGGGCAUAAUUACACAGGCCUAGACCAGCCUCAAAUUUUAAUAAAAUAAAAAGGGGGAGAUGUGGAGAGCCGUGCUGCGAGCAAUCGCCAUUAUAAGAUGGUGCUGGCCUCCGCUGUGCCUAACUAGUAAACAAGCCUUGUAUGCAGGUUUGAGAGUGAACUCACUCCUAGUCACUCCCAUUCUCGGGGUGUAAUAGUGGGGUGAUGGGCGAGAAAUGAAUCAGGAGCUGUCACGCAAUAUCAGGUGCUGAAACGUCAUGCUGCGGACUAUAAAAGCGGCUCCAUUUUCCCGGUUCGGGGUCUUCCUGAAGAAGUAAGCAAUAAAGCUUUUGCCAC